rnacentral:rRNA from 1 species
UACGUAGGGGGCAAGCGUUGUCCGGAAUCAUUGGGCGUAAAGAGCGUGUAGGCGGUCCGGUAAGUCCGCUGUGAAAGUCGGGGGCUCAACCCUGGAAAGCCGGUGGAUACUGUCGGGCUAGAGUCCGGAAGAGGCGAGUGGAAUUCCUGGUGUAGCGGUGGAAUGCGCAGAUAUCAGGAGGAACACCGAUAGCGAAGGCAGCUCGCUGGGACGGUACUGACGCUGAGGUGCGAAAGCGUGGGGAGCGAACAGG